rnacentral:lncRNA from 1 species
AUGAAAAAUUUAAUAUUAAUCAAAUAAAUGAGUUAUUUUCUAUACUCAAUUAAUUUGAAAUUUUAAGAAAUUAUUCAAGUAAAUUAUUUGAGAAAUGAUUAUAUUUUGGUUAUUCAAAAUUUUCCCAAAUGCAUAUUUAUAUAAGUAAAAUUAUAUAUUGAAAAAUUUUGGAAGAAAUUAUAAAGGAUGUUUUUAUAAAAGAAUUUUGGAAAAAUUGGUAUUAUAAUUGAUUAGUAGUAUUAAAUUUUAAGUUGGAAAUUGAUUAUUUAAUUUAAUUGUGUGUUAGGACUAAAUUGGAGAUUUAUUUUGGAAUAAGGAUUGAAAGUAUAAUGUUAUUUUUAUGGGGUUUUAAUGGA